rnacentral:rRNA from 1 species
AGGAUGAACGCCAGCGGCAGGCCUAAUACAUGCAAGUCGAGCGAUACCAGAGGGCUUGCUCUCUGGGAAAGUGGCGCACGGGUGCGUAACGCGUAUGCAACCUACCUUAAUCAGGGGGAUAGCCUCUCGAAAGAGAGAUUAACACCGCAUAAAAUCACAAGCUGGCAUCAGCAAAUGAUCAAAUAUUUAUAGGAUUAAGAUGGGCAUGCGUGACAUUAGUUAGUUGGUGAGGUAACGGCUCACCAAGACGAUGAUGUCUAGGGGAUCUGAGAGGAUCGACCCCCACACUGGUACUGAGACACGGCCAGACU